rnacentral:rRNA from 1 species
GAUGAACGCUGGCGGCGUGCUUAACACAUGCAAGUCGAACGGGAAAUCUUUCAUUGAGACUUCGGUGGAUUUGAUUUAUUUCUAGUGGCGGACGGGUGAGUAACGCGUGGGUAACCUGCCUUAUACAGGGGGAUAACAGUCAGAAAUGGCUGCUAAUACCGCAUAAGCGCACAGAGCUGCAUGGCUCAGUGUGAAAAACUCCGGUGGUAUAAGAUGGACCCGCGUUGGAUUAGCUAGUUGGUGGGGUAACGGCCCACCAAGGCGACGAUCCAUAGCCGGCCGGAGAGGGGGAACGGCCACAUUGGGACUGAGACACGGCCCAGACUCCUACGGGAGGGAGCAGUGGGGAAUAUUGCACAAUGGGGGAAACCCUGAUGCAGCGACGCCGCGUGAAGGAAGAAGUAUCUCGGUAUGUAAACUUCUAUCAGCAGGGAAGAUAGUGACGGUACCUGACGAAGAAGCCCCGGCUAACUACGUG